UACGUAGGGUGCGAGCGUUAAUCGGAAUUACUGGGCGUAAAGCGUGCGCAGGCGGUUCGUUGUGUCGGCGGUGAAAUCUCCGGGCUCAACCUGGGAAUGGCCGUUGAAACUGGCGAACUGGAGUGUGGCAGAGGGGGGUGGAAUUCCGCGUGUAGCAGUGAAAUGCGUAGAGAUGCGGAGGAACACCGAUGGCGAAGGCAGCCCCCUGGGCUGACACUGACGCUCAGGCACGAAAGCGUGGGGAGCAAACAGG
rnacentral:rRNA from 1 species